UUAUUUUGGAGUUUAGUUAUUGUAAUUAUAGGACAAGAGGACCUCAAGUUGGUGAGCUAACUAGUUAACUAACAAGUCAAAACAAGUUACUUUUGUUAUGGGUCAAAAUGGGCUGAAUAGAGUUUGGUUGACUGGAAAUACUCUUUGUUUAAUGGGUUUGUUACGUGUGUAAAUAAUCGGUGUGUCAAACGUGAUUAUAAAGGUUUUUGUCUAUGUUUUAGACGGUUGGUUAGUAUAGUUUGAUUCAAGUCCAUUAAACUUUGGUAUUAGAUCAAUAAUUUAUUUUGUUUUCAUUUAUAAUUUGCAGGGCGCUGGUGGUACUAUUGCAUGGACUCAAUGAACACAGGUAUGAUGAAUUUCCAAAGCAGCUGAACACACAUGGAUAUAAAGUUUACGGAAUGGAUUGGGUUGGUGUUAAAAAAAGAAAAUAUAUCAUGCGUUGUCGCUCCUUACGAGGCUGAUGCCCAAAUGACAUUUUUGGCCAUUAGCAAGCAUGUCGAUGCUGUCAUUACUGAAGACUCAGAUUUAAUACCAUUUGGUUGCCCAACAGUUUUGCAUCUCUUGAAGCAAAGAGGAAGUUCAAGGCCCCUCGAGUUUCACCAAAACACACAAGUCCGACAAGUGAAAUUCUUCAAUUUGACUCAAGUGAAGAAACUGUGGAUACCAUUGUCCCAAGAAAGACCGCAAAGCUAAUGGAAUCAGUUUCUCACGACCCAUGAGAGGGGUACAACACUCAAAGCAUACCAUACACCCUUGUAUUGCAUCACAAAAGGAGUCAGAACCUAAUUCUUUCUUGGGUGAAAAUGAGGGCAAAACAAGAGUGUAAAAGAAACCUGUGGUGGUGAGAAAUUGUUAUUUUCAGCACAAAAGUUCAGAAGAAAUUAAUGAAGUCAACAUUGCAAGCUAGAAUACAACUUCUAGUUGCGAUCCCAUGUCAGUUUUGGGUCCAAUUGAGGUCAAAGCUAGAGUAGAGAACAUCAAACCAAAUAGAAGUCUUUAUUUUACCCAGAAAAAUCAAGAAAACACAAAUGAAAGUCACUUAGAGACGAACAUCAACGAAGGAUUAACCAUGAAACGGAAGUUUUCCAUUGUUGAUGACAAUAUUCAAAAUGACGAUCUGAGCCAAAAAUGCAUGCGGGCAGAUCAAUCUCAUGCUAAUCAAGGUGUAUGCAAUUAUGAUCUUGAUGAUCAAAUGCAAGCAACAAGAGAUGUAGAACAGAAAUUUGGAUGUAAUAUUUCCCAUUUGGACGAAAAUGCUGCUGUUGCAAGUGUUGCAGCUACUGCAUCAUUUGUAGAUAACUUUUGAUUGGGAGUUUAUGUAUUUAGUAUGAAAAUUGAAAACUUAUGUAGGGAUUUUGGUUUAUUAUUGCUAUAUCAUUAAUUUGGUUUUUAGGUU